UUAAAAUAGAUAAAUAAUUUUUUUUCUCAGAAACUAAAAAAUCUUCAAUUUCUUAUAGUUGCCCUGUCCUCUUGGAUUCCCUAACCUCUCCCAGGAGUUUAAAUAUGGAAGCUUGAAGCGAAAUUCCCAAUUCCUAAUAAUUGGGCUGUUCUCUUGGAUAUCAUGUCAUCUCAGUACCACUCCCUGUACGUUUCUAACGUGCUUUUCUUCCCCUUCAAACAACACCACAGACUCACUGUACUAUGUGUGGCUUAAAGUUGAGUCCGCAGACAGGAUGGUAGUUCAUCCAGGAAGCCUCGCCUCUGAACAUAUCUCUUCGACAAAGCGCAGGAAGGCAAAGAAAGGAAAAGUAUGCAAAUCAAAAAACCAAGAGGGAGCAUGCAUGACGUGGUACUGCAUGAUGCGCAUAGCUAGAAGUUUCGUGAACUCGAGAACUCAGAGAUGGAAUUGCUGCGGGGGAGAGAAACGUCAGCUGUGAUGAGAAGCAAAAUUAAGUGGGUAAGCUAAAAUUUGUCCUCCCUUUAGUUUGGAGGCUUUUUUUUUCAAGUAAAAUAUAUGUUGAUAUCAUUUUACUCUCGAUAUCUAUAUGUUUUUUUAACCAUUUAUCAACUUCUUCUUUUUUAUGCGGAUGAAGUUAUUUUUUUCUCAGGUUGAUUACAAUUCUCUCCUUAAAAUUUCGGAUAGUAGUUUCUAAUUUUAAUUAACCAUUGAGGUUUUAAGUCAUUUUUCAGAUUUUUUUCCUUGAAAUUUGACGUUUUAAUUCCAAAUGCUAGUGAUGGAAACAAAUUUCUUAAGCUUAGUCACAUUUGAUACUUAGGUGGUCGAUUCUGCCGGGCUUAGCCUCCUUUGAACCCAGGGGCGGAGCCUUUUAUAAGGCUAAGGAGGGCUGUGAUCCAGGUUAAAAAAAUUAAUAAUCUACUUUCCUUUUUCUUUUUUACACAGCAAACAUUCCACUUUCCCUAUUUUUUACACAAUAAACCUAGUGUUCCACUUUUCCUUGCAAUAUAAAUUAAUUAGCAGCCAUUAACUGUACACUUUACUUUCCCAAGCAACACUAAUUAAUUAGCCACCUAUCUUCCCAUGCAAUACUAAUUAAUUAGUUAUAUUUUACAAUAAAUCUAUCUAAAUAUAAAUAAUUAAUUGGUUCACAUGUCUUCCAAAUUACUUAGGGUUUUAGCUAUUUUUCUUCUGAACAAUAUAUAAUUUUAGCUUGGAUUUUGAAGAAGAAUCUAUACAGAGCCGCGCAAGAGUAUAAAAUCAUCAGGUAAGAAUUUACAAGCCCUGACUUUUCAUUUUGAAUUCAAUGUUUCACAUUCAUUACAGUAAAUUGUUAUUAGAGUAAACAGUAGACUGUACCCUAGAAAUGGAUGCAUGCUAACACACUAGUAGUCUAGUACUAAUAAUUUACUGGUUAUUUCAAAGUUAGUUCUCCAAAUCUCCCAGUAGUUUGCAUCACUAGUUUAUCCUUGUAUAUUCUGCAUUUUAUGAAUAUUCUAUUGUGGCAUUAGUAUCUUUUCAUCAUGCACCUGACUUCCCUAAUCCCUUUUACUUGAAUAGGUUAUAAAUUAUAAUGGAAAAUCAAGGAAACAAGAGAGGAAAAACUAUGUUUUCAUUCUUUAAACCAAACGAACAAGCAUCAACCAGUAAAGGACAUUCUCCAUCCAAUGUUGAUGUCUCAAAUCGUAGUGAACAACCCCCUUUCAGAUCUCAAAGAGUUGAAAUUGAUGUUAAUACUCUUGAACGAGAUCCUGAGUUACGAAUUCCAAUGUGGAAACAUCCUAUUAAUCUACAAGAUGAAAUUAGAAGAGCUUAUAUCAAAAUGGGUCCAUAUCAACCUAAGUUAGCAGAGUAUCCAAGGACCGAAUCAGGGAGACAGUAUCGUCGAUUUCAAUACACUUGGUUUGAUCAAUUUCCUCGGCUAAAGUACUCUCCAUCAAAGGAUGCAGUAUUUUGUUUUCCAUGCUUUAUCUUUGAAAAAAAAGUGCCCGUCAUCUCACAUUCACCACCGAAGGCUUUAGAAGUUGGAAGAGGGUUAAUGAUGGGGUUAGAUGUGCACUUUUGAUGCAUGUGGGAAGUCCCACUUCACCACAUAAUAAUGCUGUGAAAUCUGCUAAAGAUUUAAUGAAAAUAAGUAGACAUAUUGAUAAAGUGUUGAAUGCACAAACUGUUGAAGAAGUUCAGAAAAAUCGGUUGAGACUUAUGACAAUAAUUGAAAGUGUUCGAUGGCUUAGCUUACAAGCAUAUGCAUUUAGAUGUCAUGAUGAAUCUUCGGCUUCUAAUAAUCGAGGCAAUUUUUUGGAGAUGAUAAGACUUAUAGGGAGACUGAAUGUUGACAUUGAUGAUGUUGUCUUAGAAAAAGCUUCUGAAAAAUGCAAAGUAUACCUCGCUGACUAUUCAAAAAGAGAUUUUGCAUAUUCUCGCGAACAAAGUGAGGAAAAAGAUUUGUGAAGAAGUUAGAGAUGUAAAGUUUUGUAUUUUGGUUGACGAAGCCAAAGAUGCAUCAAAUAAAGAACAAAUGGCUAUUGUUUUGAGAUUUGUUGACAUUCAAGGUUUUGUACGAGAACCCUUUUUUAGUAUUGUGCAUGUUUCAGAUACUACUUCUUCAACACUUAAAAAAAAAAUUGUGAUGUGCUCGCUCGAUAUAACUUGCAUAUUUUCAAUAUGCGAGGUCAAGGGUAUGAUGGUGCUAGCAAUAUGCGUGGUGCAUGGAAUGGACUAUGAGCUCUAUUUCUCAGAGAUUGUCCUUAUGCAUAUUAUGUACAUUGCUUUGCUCACCGACUACAACUGGCAUUAGUUGCAAUAGCUGGAAAUGAGAUUUCUAUUUGGUUAUUUUUCUCAAAAUUGACAACCAUUAUCAACCUUAUUUGUGCUUCUCCCAAACGUCAUACCGAGUUACAUUAUGCUCGGGCUAUAGAAAUUGCACAUAUGGUAGCUACUGGAGAACGUGAGACUAGUAGAGGGGCUAAUCAAAUUGGUAAUUUACAUUGAAGUGGAACUGCUCGCUGGAGCUCUCAUUUUGAUUCUAUUUGCAGCUUAAUAGAUAUGUAUAGUGCAACUAUUACUGUGCUUGAAAGUAUGGUUCAAGAAGGAUCUUCUAAUUCUAUACGUGGAGAAGCUGGUGGUUGUUUGAUUGUGAUGAAAUCUUUUAAAUUUAUAUUCAUUUUAUAUUUGAUGCAUAAAAUAAUAGGGAUUACUUAUUUACUUUGUCGAGCUUUGCAGCAAAAAUCUCUUGACAUCUUAAAUGCAAUGGAUCUUGUAUCAACUACUAAAGCAUUGCUUCAAACUUUGAGAGAUGCCGGAUUUGAUCUUCUCCUUGCAAAUGUGCAAUUUGUUUGCACAAAAUAUGAGAUUGACAUACCACAUAUAAAUGCUUCGUAUAAAAAGGCUACAGGUCGUUCAUGUCAACAACAAGGUUCAGUGACAGUUUACCAGCAUUAUCAUUAUGAUAUAUUUAACUCAAUAAUAGAUUUUCAGUUAGAAGAAUUAAAUUCUAGAUUCAGUGAUGGGAUAGUGGAACUCCUUAUACUUAGCUCUGCUUUAGAACCUAAGGACAACUUUAAAUCAUUUAAAGUUGAUGCUAUUUACAAGCUUGCUGAGAAAUUUUAUCCUGAAGAUUUCAAUGAACAAGAGAUGUAUUAUUUGAGAUCUCAGCUAAAGCGUUAUCAGAUUGAUGUGAUUCAUCAUGAGAGCUUUCAGAAUAUGUCUACCAUUUCUGAAUUAUGUCGAGGAUUAGCCGAAACAAAUAAGUCGCAGUACUAUCAUUUGAUUGACAGGUUGAUUCGUUUUGUUUUGACUUUGCCUGUUUCCACUGUCACUACAGAGCGGAUAUUUUCAGCUAUGAAACAUGUUAAAACUGUGCUUCGCAAUAAAAUGAAAGAGGAGUUCUUAGCAGAUUCUAUAAUGAUUUACAUUGAACGAGAGCUUGUUGAAGAUAUUGAUUCGGAUUCGAUCAUAGAUGAAUUCUAUUCUACAAAACAUCGAAGGGUGCAGCUUUAAUAGUAUAAUUUAUUUUUAUUUUUAUUUUGAAUUUUAUGUACUUUAAAUUUCAUUUUUUAUAUAUUUUAUGUUAUGUAUUUGAAUUAAAACUUUAUUAUUAACUUGAUAAAUUUAUAUAUCUGAGUGAAUAAUUGAUCUUAAAAAAUAAUUUAUAUAUAUUUUUAUCAUAGCCCAGGAUAUAAAAAAUUCAUGGCUCUGUCCCUGCUUGAACCCACCUCAAUCCCUUUUUAAUUGUGGGGGUGGAUCUUCCAAAUCUUUGAGUUGCCCUUCAAAUCAUAGGAAUGUGUCUUUAAUGUCUAGAUUAUAGAAUAUCCCCAGUGAGCUGGCCUCACUUGUGUCCUCCAUGUUAUCACAGCCACGCCAUGAGUUCGGAGGCGGGUAGUAAAAGCAUCAUUCCCAAUAUCUUAAAGCAUGUUGGAUUGAAACAAAGAUGGUAAUAGCAUUAUUGAAGAUUACAUAACCAACAUGGGACGGCCAACGAGUACCCUUCUUUUAUUGAGGUUAGAACACCGGCCAGCUAUUUCAUCCUCAGACGCCGCCGGUUUCCGGGACCGACCGACCAAUCACCUGCUCAGGUAGU